CUGGCAUCUUGUGGUGAGGUGAAGCUUCACUGACUAGAGGUGGAUUUUGUUUAUGACAUUCUGGGGAGGAUUUAGAGGUCCAUGAUGGCUUGACAUUACUGGAAAUGACCUCAGAAUGACAUCACGGGUAGAUGCUGGGCAUACAACAAAGAUCAAAUGAGACGUAGCUCCUGUCCUCAUGGGGUCUGCAGCUGAGCGGUGGAGACAGAAAACAAUGAAGCAUGAUGGUGGGAAUGGGAAGGAAGGGAAGGUGACCUGCGGAUGGCUCUUGCAAGAUAGCAUUGGCCCUGACUGUCCUCAAGAAUGCCCGCCUCUCUGAGGAGACUGGAGGAAAUCAGCAGAUGGGAGUUGCUGUCCUUUCCUGCCUGCCCUCAGGAGAGAUCGCUCCCCACUUCUCAGAGUCCUCCUCAAUCUGGGAUGAGAAGAAAGAGCACUGACUACACUGAGCAUUCCUGCACCAUGCUGGCUGGAUCCUGGACCUCCCUCUGUCUUCUUCCCCUCAUCUGGCAAAUGGGUACAAUGUCCCCUUUAAGCACUCUGAGGCAUUUCUCUGAGGGUGAAGUGAGACGGUGCGUUUUAAAAAUUCAUACCCACUUCAUUCCACAGUGCAUUUGGGGCAGCUUCUAAAAAUACCUGUGUUAUAAAGAGAUAAAAAUAAAUACUGUGUGAGAUCAUUUUACAAUUGUACUCUGAGCACGUUUCCCUAUUAUCGCUUGUAGAGGCGUAGAAG
ensembl:lncRNA